rnacentral:rRNA from 1 species
UACGAAGGGGGCUAGCGUUGCUCGGAAUUACUGGGCGUAAAGCGCACGUAGGCGGCUUCUUAAGUCGGUGGUGAAAUCCUGGAGCUCAACUCCAGAACUGCCUUCGAUACUGGGAAGCUCGAGUCCGGGAGAGGUGAGUGGAACUGCGAGUGUAGAGGUGAAAUUCGUAGAUAUUCGCAAGAACACCAGUGGCGAAGGCGGCAUCCUGGACCGGCAUUGACGCUGAGGAGCGAAAGCUAGGGGAGCAAACGGG